rnacentral:rRNA from 1 species
UAAGACGGAGGGGGCGAGCGUUGUUCGGAAUUAUUGGGCGUAAAGCGCGCGUAGGCGGUCGAGUCAGUCGGACGUGAAAGCCCAGGGCUCAACCCUGGAAGGGCGUUCGAUACUGCCCGACUUGAGUACGGUAGAGGAGAGCGGAAUUCCCAGUGUAGCGGUGAAAUGCGUAGAUAUUGGGAGGAACACCAGUGGCGAAGGCGGCUCUCUGGACCGUUACUGACGCUGAGGUGCGAAAGCUAGGGGAGCAAACGGGAUUAGAUACCCCGGUAGUCCUAGCCGUAAACGAUGGGCACUAGGUGUUGGGGGUAUCAACCCCUCCAGUGCCGGAGCUAACGCAUUAAGUGCCCCGCCUGGGGAGUACGGUCGCAAGGCUG